AUUGAACGCUGGCGGCAUGCCUUACACAUGCAAGUCGAACGGCAGCGCGGGGCAACCUGGCGGCGAGUGGCGAACGGGUGAGUAAUAUAUCGGAACAUACCCUAGAGUGGGGGAUAACGUAGCGAAAGUUACGCUAAUACCGCAUACGCACUAAGGUGGAAAGUGGGGGAUCUUCGGACCUCAUGCUCAUGGAGUGGCCGAUAUCUGAUUAGCUAGUUGGUGAGGUAAAGGCUCACCAAGGCGACGAUCAGUAGCUGGUUUGAGAGAACGACCAGCCACACUGGAACUGAGACACGGUCCAGACUCCUACGGGAGGCAGCAGUGGGGAAUUUUGGACAAUGGGGGCAACCCUGAUCCAGCAAUGCCGCGUGAGUGAAGAAGGCCUUCGGGUUGU
rnacentral:rRNA from 1 species